rnacentral:rRNA from 2 species
CUCGGUGUCAGUUCCCGGCGGGUCACACCCGUUCCCAUCCCGAACACGGCAGUUAAGCCGCCAGGGGCCGAUGGUAGUCCGAUUGGGCGAGAGUAGGUGGACGCCGGGA